UAGGUUGACAGCAAGAUUAUGGAUGCGCAAGCUGCUCACGAAGCGACCUAUUCCAUUCUUAUGACAGCAUUGGCAGGUGCCAAUAUCAUUUAUGGACCG
rnacentral:ncRNA from 1 species